rnacentral:lncRNA from 1 species
GCUUGGUACUGCCCUACAUCACCUACAACUUCAAGGCUGAAUGCUAACUUCAAGUGACAAAAUUACAAUGGAAGGACAGGAGAGCAAAAUAAAAACACCAAAAAGAAAAAAAAAAAAGAAAAUCAAGGCAAGAUUAAUUAUUCAGCCAUCACCUGGUGAAUAGACUGAAGAGAGACUACAAAGAGUGGGGUCCAAUUGGGAAAAAUGAGACAGAAUAU